UGUCCCAACUGGUACUAAUACCUCAGGCUUUUGCAAUGUUAAAUAAUUACCAGACUUUUUUUUUCAACAAAUACCCUAGGAUUGCUACUAUUUGCACUGGAUGAGUCCUAAAACAGGUCAAGUGAAAAUAUGUCCUGAGAAUGGAGUUACUCAGAAAGUGGUUGGACACAUCAUAUAGUGCAAAAUCUGAGAAUAGGGCUUUCUUUUUGUUUCACAUGCACUGAGUUCCCUCCAGUGAUUUUUAGAAUGCUAGCUCCCGCUUAAGGUCACUGCUUCUUACAGAGAUGUUUUGGAGGCUACCACAGAGUUGGGACAGAGAUAUCACAACAGAGCAAGAAUAAAUGCUAGAGUGAGCUCUGUUACUCCACUAUGUUUUUGAAAAUAAAUAAUCCUCCUCUGAUCAUUGUAAGCUUUUAGUUAAUUUGAGAGCCAUUUCAGGUUAACUUUGUCAAUUAUUUUCUGUUUGUGGUGUUGUUAGUGCUUUUAUGGAAGAGUAGGCUUACAAAUUUCAGAAAUUUCCCUUGAAUAAAUACUCCAUGAGUUGCUCUAAUGCAUUCAUUAGUUACCAGGAUUCUGCAAAUCUUUAUUCUAGCAUCCUUUGGCCAAUUUCUUCAUUGAUUUUAUAGAGGAAAAUAUUUGAUAUAUUUUUGUUGACUAUUUUUGCUAGUAUCCCAGCCUUUACUUAUUUAUUUAUUGUUUUGACAGGCAGAGUUAGACAGAGAGAGAGACAGAGAGAAAAGUCUUCCUUUUCCGUUGGUUCACCCCACAAAUGGCCGCCAUGGUUGGUGCACUGCGGCCAACGCACUGUGCCAAUCCGAAGCCAGGAGCCGGGUGCUUCCUCCUGGUCUCCCAUGCAGGUGCAGGGCCCAAGCACUUGGGCCAUCCUCCACUGCCUUCCCAGGCCACAGCAUAGAGCUGGACUGAAAGAGGAGCAACUGGGACAGAAUCUGGUGCCCCAUCAGGGACUAGAACCCCGGGGUGCUGGUGCCGCAGGCGGAAGAUUAGCCUAGUGAGCCACAGCGCCGGCCUCCCAGCCUUUACUUAUUUGAAUAUAAUUUUCUACCUCUAGAAAGUCAAUUUGUUGUUAUCUUCUAUUUCUUUACUUAGCUAUGUUUUGCCCUAAAUACUGAUACAUUUUUGUAACACCUUUUUAAAUAUUUUUCUUGAGUUUUUAUCAUGCUUCUAAUAUCUGAGUCUGUUUCUGCUGAUUUAGUUUUCUUUUGAUCAUUGGUAUAUUUUUCUGCUUCUUAGCACGUGUCAGAAUUUCUCAUGUGCUAGAUAUUGUCAUUUUACAUUGUUGAACGCUUGAAUUUUGAUGUUAUAAUGUGUUGAUGUUUAUCGAUUUAGUUUGUGCAAUAAUUUAAGUUACUUGAAGUUCCAGUUGACCUUUUAGUGGCUGAUAUAUAGGCUUUAUACACACAUAUUUUAUAUGAAAUGUAGAGUGAAUUCUAGGACUCUUCUAUACCUACUGUUAAAUGGUAAUCCUUCUAGAGUCUCUUCUUAAUGCUUUGAAUGUUUAAUAUUAGUGUUUGUUUUAAGAUUUAUUUAUUAAUUUGAAAGUCAGAGUUAGAGAUGGGGGGAGGAGAGGGGGUCUUCCAUCUGCUGGUUCACUCCCUAGAUGGCCGCAAUGCACUGAUCUGAAGCCAGGAGCCAGGAUCUUCUUCUGGGUGUCCCACGUGGGUGCAGGGGCCCAGGGACUUGAGCCAUCUUCUACUGCUUUCCCAGGCCACAGCAGGGAGCUGGAUCAGAAGAGGAGGAGCCGUGACUAGAACCAGUGCCCAUAUGGGAUACAGGCGCUUCAGGCCAGGGCAUUAACCCAUUGUGUUAACCUGCUGUGCCACAGCACCGGCCCCCAUAUUACUGUUUAAUCUCUCCAUUCUGGCUGGAUGGAAUUCAAAAAUGUCCAUGUUUUGUGUAACAUCUAGUAUCUGCUAACCCAAUAUGUUUCUGGUGUUUUUUUACAUUUAUCUGUCCUUUUAGAGUUUAAUACUAUACACACACAGUUUAUGAUUUCUCAUCUUGCUAUUUGUUGAACGCUUUACUUAGUGUAGGGUUAAUGAGUAUGAAGUAGACUGAAAGUAGAUCACUGUACAAAUUAAGAGAGGGAAUAAGGAGAAGCAGGAGAAAGGGUGGCAUUGUGGGCAGGAGGGAGGGUAGGGAUCUCUAUGAAGAAAGUUACAUUUCUUAUCCUGCUUAUUUCCUGACCCUGUAAUUAUCUACUCUAUUAUUUUUACAUUCUUCAUCUUCCCAAAAGAACUGAUAGUUUCUUACUUAUCUCCACAGGACCACUAUAGUGGCUUCUUUUCUCCUUUUUUGUUUUGCUGAUUUAGUGCUCAGCUCCUUUAUUUCCCUUAUUUUAGAAAUCAAAUUCCCAAACUCUUUGUUUCCCACGUCCUGGAAACAAUUGUUUCUUAUAUGUUAUCCAUUUUCUAGGGUUGUUUUUUUCUUAACAAACAGGAGAUGAAGUCUUGUUAUCAGUUAACAUAUGGUGAAUAGAGCCUUCUUUGUAAAUGGCCUGUUCUCCCUUCCAGAAUGCCCACAUUUAUCUAUUUAUCCUUGAAAUUCAGUAACUUUUCUGCUGAAUGUUCUGUGCUGUUUUUUCCCUGAGAUACAUUCUAUCCACUUCAUCCCUAUAUUAAGGACCUUCUUACCCCUCCUGUGUCAAGCUGCGUUCCUCAUUCUUUGGGAAGACAGGAAGACGGAGCUAUGUGAAGUGAACAUAUUUUGUCUGGAUUUCAGCAUGUGAUCAUUCCUCCCUCACCUGUCAAUACCAGCCUCCAACAGACACUGGAUGAUGGGGCCGCCCAGUCUUCAACUAUAUCCUCCAAAUUUUCUGGAAGACCAAGAACAUGCUGCUAACAUCUGUUUCUGAUGAGACCCUCAUGGCGGAUAGCAUCAUAUAACUUGUGCAAGGAAAGGAGAUCACAUGGUGAUAGCAGAAGCAAGACUGAGCUGAGGAAGGUAAACUUCAUUUAUAAUUACUCGCUUACACAGUAACAAAUCUAGUCCCAUGAGGCAUAACCCACUCAUGGGAAAUGAGGGGUGACCUAAUCCCCUCCCACUAGGCUCCACCUCUUAGAGGUUCUACCACCUCUCAAUACUGAUACUUUGGGAGCUAAGUUUUCACCAUAUGAACCUUUGGGGACCCUAGCGAUGAUGUUUGUGCUUCUACAUCCCUAUUAGAUGGAAUAGAGAAUGGCCCAGCCUAAGGCGACAUGGUAGUAGGAGAACAAGGAAGUGUGAAUUGACAGACCUAUUGCAAUAAAUCUCCAUGAGAAGAGAACUCAUAGAUCUGCAAUAUCAAGAGUAGAUUGGAGCCUUUCCUAUUAGGGUUCACUGGUAUUUUGUCUGCCAUGGAAAAUGGACAGGAAAGUGAUAUUUCUCAUUGUGUGUAAACUGCACAGAGAGAAUAGCCCUAUAAGGUGGGUGGACUUUGAGGCAUUCAAUUGGGAAGAGGGAGAGAGAGAGAGUGAGAGACAGAAAGAGAUUUCCAUCUGCUGUUUCACUCCCCAGAUGGCUAUCAUGGCUGGUGCUGAGGCAGGCUGAAGCUAAGAGCUGUGUGCAUCUCCCAGGUCUCCCAUGUAGGUGGCAGGAGUCCAAGUACUUGGAUCAUUCUCUGCUAAUUUGGCCAUUAGCAGAGAACUGGAUCAGAAGUGGAGCAGGAGUGAUGCAAACCAGCAGCCAUUAGGAUGCCAGCAUUGCAGGUGGUGGCUCAAUCAGCUAUGCCACAACACCAUCCCCUCUUCAGGUAUUGAUAUACAAUACAUACUUUUCCUAAUAAGGAAGGGAAAUUUCAGGACUUUUUGACAUUAAAAUGAUUUCCUUAACCCCAGUCUUCAUCACUGUUUAUUAAAAACCUGCAAAAUAGGUAUGAUGCUGGGCUGGUGCCGCGGCUCACUAGGCUAAUCCUCCGCCUUUCGGCGCCGGCACACCGGGUUCUAGUCCCGGUCAGGGUGCCAGAUUCUGUCCCGGUUGCCCCUCUUCCAGGCCAGCUCUCUGCUGUGGCCCGGGAAGGCAGUGGAGGAUGGCCCAAGUACUUGGGCCCUGCACCCCAUGGGAGACCAGGAGAAGUACCUGGAUCCUGGCCUCGGAUCAGCACGGUGCGCCGGCCGCAGCGUGCCGGCCACGGCGGCCAUUGGAGGGUGAACCAACGGCAAAGGAAGACCUUUUUCUCUGUCUCUCUCUCUCACUGUCCACUCUGCCUUGUGGGGAGCAAACCGGACUAGACUGAGUUACUGGAAUUGGGACUUGUUCUGUGCAUCUGCUCUCCCACAAUAUGGCGCUGGGAGAGAAGUAAACAGCUUCCGCACAGCUGCCUCCAGUUCAGCUAAUAAACUGUAGGACUUGCUCCUGAUUGGAGGAGAGCAGCGUACUCGGCGUGUGGGCAGCCGAGUUAGGAUUGGCGGAGGAGGACUAUAAAGGAGGAGAGAGACGGCAUGCACCAGGAACAUCUAAGGGGAGCAUCUAGCUGAAGGAACACCCGUGCAGCCCCCGAGAAGAGCCGGCCGGCGGUGUGCCGCUCCCCUGCGGAAGUGGGGAAUGUGGCCAGGGGGAACUGCCCUUCCACGGAGGUGGAAGGGAUAGUAGCCAACCCGGGAAGAACCAGCAGCAAACCCGGGGAGGGCCGAGCAGACGAAAGAACAGCGCAGGGUCCUGUGUCGUUCCUCCACGAAGAGGGGGAGCGACAUAAUGGUGCCGUGACUCGGAUAUGAAGCCUAGGCAGGGUUUAGUGUUGCUCCUCCAUGAAGAGGGGGAGUGACACUGCCUGUCAAAAAAUAAAAAAAAAAAUCACUAAAAAAAAAUAGGUAUGAUGCUUCUCAGACUUCACCACCUCCAUAGUUAAAAGACCUUUCAGUCUUGUUGCUUAUUUUAAUAAGGAUCUCCAAUUUAAAACUGGAAUUUAUUUUACUUGUAUUUCCUUCCAAUAUGUAUGUUUCAAACUUCACAUAUAUAUAUAUAUAUAUAUGUUUCAAACUUCACAAAUAUAUUUUUAAAUAUAUUUUAAAUUUUAAUUUACAUACAAUAAUAUUUUGGGGGAAAUUUCUGUAAUUUUAAAUGAAUGUGAACUUAUAUAACAUUCAGCAAAGAAUCCUACCAGAUGCUUUCAGGUCAAAAUUCCACCCUCAGAUUCUAGAAUCAAUUCACUAUACUUGUUUUCCUGUAUUUUGGAGUAGUGUGAUCAGUAUUUCCAUGGAAACUCUGACAUCAAGUAGCAUGUGUCAUAGAAGAAAAAUGCAAAACCAUAUUCAAAGUGCUCUAGGUAAAUAGCCAGAAAUUCCAAGCUCCCAGAGGAAUAUAUGGGCAUCUCUAGUACUUAAGCUCCUAUCUAUUUUGUACAUCAUUCUGAUAAUGAAUCUGGGCUUGUUUUUAUACCAGGCUCUUGGGAGCAAAAGGGAUUUCUACUCUGCAACUCACAAAUUAAUAAUUAUUUUCCUGUUUUUUGCUUUUAUGAUCUUGCAGUUUUUCACUGCUUAUUCUGUAGUUUUAGAGUUAAGAAAAGUAACUAAUUAAGAGGGCUUCAGAUAUUUGAGUAAUGAUGUUGGGAUUGAGUAUUGGAGUAUAUUUUCUUUUCAACUAAGAUCUGGGUCCUUCAAAUUAAGACUUUAUUAAAACACUCGGGGGAAAAAAGCAGGAAAAGGCAAUUAAGAAUAUUUAUUCUAUUAGCAAGAGGAUGUAAGGACAAGGCUUAGUAGUUCUCAGUUCUGAACACUGCCAUGUAACACAGGUUAUACCUGUGGGUAUAGCACUUAGGAGGGAUGGAAGAAGAAAGACAGUGGGGUUGGUAUUACAAAAGCCCUUUGGAUAAAUGUCAGUAGACACAUAGAGCCUCAAAGCAUUGAGUGGUCAUUUCAAAAGGACUCAUGUAGGUGUUUAGGUGGGCUUUCCACACUUAGACAUGCAGUGUAUGUGUGUGUGGUUCUACUCUAGAAACUGGUGAUCGUAUACAAUUAAAUAUAAUUGAUGCCUCUGCAAGGAGAGUAACACAUACCACGUACAACAUAGAUGGUAGGUAUGUUUUGUUGCACACAAAGGGAAGCUUUCCCAAGAGUACAAAAUUGUCACCCCUCCACUCCCUAGUGCUAGCCUCCUUCAUGGAAAUUCUUUUAGGUACUUGUUCAGAGACAAGUUCUGGGACAUGAAGGUCCUGACAAAAAAACAACCAAAUAAAAACAAAUCCUGCUGCUCUUCCUUCUGUGAUUCAUAUCCACUUUCUGAAGUUGCCUGAUGGAAAGGUGAACAAGGCUUUUAAUGUAGUCAUGGUGCUCUUCACUGGCUGUGAAGUAUUUUUUUUCCUUUUGUAGAUACUUUUUCCUGCCCCACCCCCCAAAUUCUUUAAUCUGUUUUUCUGCGUAAGUUGCCCUCAGCGUUUUCAAAGCUUCUCUUUGAGAUUCACUCUAACUCAUCCCCACUUCUCAGUUCAUUAACCCAGCUAGAGUUCAGAUUUUCUAACUGUCAGGUUUUGAAUCUUGUUCUUUCUUCAUAGGCCUAAAGGAUAUUUCAUUUGAAAAUACAUGUGAAUCCAUCCUCUAUAAUUAUCAAUUUAUUAGAGUAUCUACAUAGUUCUUAAGAAAUUCUUCUCAUUGAUAUGAUGUUAUUUUGGUACUUUUUAGAAGUUAUAUGUCUGUUGUUUUGGGAAGGAGACAGAAUUGGGGAUGGUAAGUGUCAUAUACCUGAGUGUUAUCAGCUGGACUGGAUAGGUGUUUAAGGACCAAGACACAAAUUUCACUUCUUUGUAUGGGACAAAAGGAGGUAAGUUGAUGCAUUCUUCCUUUAAUUUUGUUAAGAAAGUUGGGAAUGUUCUGUGUGGGAUUCUGUUGUAUUAAUAACCCAUAAGUAUCACCAUACUUCAAUAUUUUGUAAACGUUUACUUAAUCAAAAUAAGAAAAAUUGUUUUCUUAUUUCUUACCACCAUCACCACUGUACAUGUGUCUAAUAUUCACAAUACUAUUUUUGUGGUUAAACGUUUUUCUGUAUUUUGCUUUAUUUUUUGAUAUGUGUUUUUGGCACACUAUUUUUUUGAUAUUUUAUGUAUAGGAUCUGCAUGAAAAAUGUUUGUUUUCCUACUUUUGUUUUGAGAUUCUGGUUGUCUGGUUGUAGUUGACUUAUGAUAGCUGCAUAUCCUUCUGAAUUUCAGUAAGUGUCAUAGACAGAAUUACAUUCUUGGAACACUUUUCCUGAGAAAUAUGCAUUUAAAAGAUUAAUACGUCUCUCCCUUUAUAGGUUUUUGAAAAAUGCAUAAAGUUCUGUAUCUACCUCCAAGGCUAUGAUGCAAAAGAGUUCCAUCACCCCCGAAAUUUCCUCAUGCUUUCCUUCAGUAGUAAUCUGAUACCCCAGCCAAAUCCCAGGCAGCCACAUCUCAGUUUUCCACCCUUAUAAUUUGCCUUUCUAAUAGAAUGUCAUACAAACAUAGUCACAUGAUGUGUUGUUCUUUGGUCUGGUUCCUUUCACUUAAAAAUAUGCAUUCAGAAUUUGUCAAUGUUUUUAUGUGAAUUGAUAUUAUUUUAACUUUUCUUCAGAAAUGUUAAUGUUCAUUAAUUUAUACUUAUUUGAAAGGUAGAGCAGCAAAGUGAGAGAGAAAGAGAGAGAGA